rnacentral:rRNA from 2 species
GAGGGAAACCGAGUCUUAACCGGGCGUUAAGUUGCAGGGUAUAGACCCGAAACCCGGUGAUCUAGCCAUGGGCAGGUUGAAGGUUGGGUAACACUAACUGGAGGACCGAACCGACUAAUGUUGAAAAAUUAGCGGAUGACCUGUGGCUGGGGGUGAAAGGCCAAUCAAACCGGGAGAUAGCUGGUUCUCCCCGAAAGCUAUUUAGGUAGCGCCUCGUGAAUUCAUCUCCGGGGGUAGAGCACUGUUUCGGCUAGGGGGCCAUCCCGGCUUACCAACCCGAUGCAAACUGCGAAUACCGGAGAAUGUUAUCACGGGAGACACACGGCGGGUGCUAACGUCCGUCGUGAAGAGGGAAACAACCCAGACCGCCAGCUAAGGUCCCAAAGUCAUGGUUAAGUGGGAAACGAUGUGGGAAGGCCCAGACAGCCAGGAUGUUGGCUUAGAAGCAGCCAUCAUUUAAAGAAAGCGUAAUAGCUCACUGGUCGAGUCGGCCUGCGCGGAAGAUGUAACGGGGCUAAACCAUGCACCGAAGCUGCGGCAGCGACGCUGAUGCGUUGUUGGGUAGGGGAGCGUUCUGUAAGCCUGCGAAGGUGGCCUGUGAGGGUUGCUGGAGGUAUCAGAAGUGCGAAUGCUGACAUAAGUAACGAUAAAGCGGGUGAAAAGCCCGCUCGCCGGAAGACCAAGGGUUCCUGUCCAACGUUAAUCGGGGCAGGGUGAGUCGACCCCUAAGGCGAGGCCGAAAGGCGUAGUCGAUGGGAAACGGGUUAAUAUUCCCGUACUUGGUGUUACUGCGAAGGGGGGACGGAGAAGGCUAUGUUGGCCGGGCGACGGUU